AGGGUCCGGAAAAAAGAAAAGCUAAGUGAAGGUGAGAUACAGAGAGUGAAAGAGUGCUUACACAGCUUUGUCGUCUAAACUAGGGAUGCUAUCGCCACCCCUACUCCUGCAAAGUCUCCCAGCUCCAAAACUCAGAAAACUUCUUGGAACUCGGUCACCCCCAAGGAGGUGAUGUCGAAAUUGUGUAACUACGACGCACCCCACCAUUUAUGGUUCAGUGAUGAAAUUUAUGUAUAUUGAAUUGUAUUAAAGUAUUUUAGACCAAG